rnacentral:lncRNA from 1 species
AAGUGAGACCCUGUCUUUAUUUAAAAUUAAGGAAAAAUAAAGAUACGAUACUGUAUGCAGAUUUAAAUCAUUUUGAGCAAGUCGUAUUUUCUUGCCACCUUGGAAGAGUCAAUUAACAUUUAUUGCUGGCCACAUGGCAGACAAUAUGCUCAAUGCUUCAUGGGCAUUAUCUCAUUUCUGUUUUAAAUUACAAAAUGAAGUCUAUGGAUGUUGAAAAUUUUGAAAGAUAUAGAAAAACACAGGAUAAAAAUUGAGAGGCUCUCGUCUCUUCUGCCUUCCCUUACCUUCUCUCUCACUGCUCUCUUUCCCUACAGCUUACCCUAGUGGUACAUGUAUGGUUGUGUGCCGGAUAUGUAUGUGUGUGUUUGUGGGUAGCUGUGUGUACAUACACACAUAACCAUACAAACAAGACCAUAGCUAUUUAUUGUAUUAAGACUUUUCCCCCCUUUUUAAUAGUGUAAUUUGGAUAUUUUCCUGCCUUCUACCAAAUACAUAAAUAUCAUGUUUCUUAAUACUCUUAAUAGUCUAUUCCAUAGUUUAGACUGUAUUUAACAACUCCCUUAUCAUUAGAUAUUUAGGCUUGUCCAGCUUUUUGCUAUCACAAACAGGGAUCUUGGUGUAUAUGUGAAUGUUGGCAGCAGGUUAGCAGAGCACCAGAAGUGGGACUACUGGUCAAACCUUUGCACAAAAAUCAUACAGCCUCUAAUAGCAUUUCCCAGAGAAGAAAAGGGCCUUGUCUGGAACACAGAUCAAGAACUCUUAACUUUUUCUGAUCCAUGCUUUACAUUGCCACUUGAUAAAUACUACAUGUCAUCUCUAAGUACCACUAAAUCUCCCAUCUGGAGAGAUGGGACACUCUCCUUUAUACCUUUGAUGACUUUACUACCCAUGAUAAAAGCAGGAGAUCCCACCUUCCAGCUGCCCCUUCUUAAACAUCUAACUCUGUGCAAGUCCCAACCCUCAUUUAAUCACUUUGCUACUUCAUUGCAUUCAUCACACCAACUUGCAGUUAUUUGUACAGUUGUUCAUCUUCCAUUAGACUGAGCCCUCUGAGGGCAGGAAAUAUUUUUCAUUCUUCUUGGAACUUCCUUUUCCUAACAUAGUGUCUGAGAUGCUCAAUAAACUUUUUUUUGAGUGAAUAAAAAAUAAAUGAGGGAGUAGAAUACCUAGAUGAAUUCAGUUAUAAAAUGGCUCCAGGUACUGAAAUUGUCCAUUUUCAUUUUUAUGUUUUUGCAAUAAGAAAGAUGAACAUGCAUCUCCCCUAGUGCUACUUUUUUCAAAACUAAAUAUUCUAAUUCCAAGGCUUUAUUUCCGUCAAAUAACUACCACUUCCAAAUUCUUCUGUUAUUUUUAUUGUUCUCCAGGAUCUCUCCAUCUCAAUCAUGUCAUACAUUGGAAACAAUUCUCUGACACUUCAUCUAUAUACAAUCAACACUUUGUUAGGCUCUUGUAGCUGCCUCAUUUUUUGUAACACAAUAGAAUACUUGCCUUAAUAAUAAAUUAUAUUUGCCUUACAGUAUGGCUUAUUAGAUACCCAAAAUGUUUUCUGCCAUGCUUUCGAAAUGUUUUGACUGCAUGACAUUCUAUGGUGUUAAAAUUCCCCAAAAUGAAUGAUUUAUACUGCAUUUGCCUUAAUUGGAAUCUAUCCUGUUUUCAUCUUUCCUACUUUGACAGUCAUCUCAAUGUAAAUCCUGUGUCAGAGGUGCUUAUCUGUCUCUUUGCUACUUUUCUUUGAAAACUAAACAUAAACACAAGAAAUUUCACAUAGUAAAACUAGUAAGAUCUGGGUUUAUAAAUAUAAAUGGUGCAUCUGUGGCGGCAGAGCUCUGUCUCCAACUUCUUGGAGAUAAACAAGUUCAUAGUUAGAAAUGCUCUAGAAGUAAACAGGAAACCUGCUACACAAAUUGUGAAAUAUAAGUAUGUUUUAUAGAAGUCCUGAAAUUGUAUUUUUCAACAAGUUAAAACAGAAAAACCUAACACUACCAUAUCCAUUAAAUAUUAAUUCUCUCUUCCUCAAAUGUUUUACUCAUAUCUAUGCCUGUCCCUUUGGAACAUUUUUCAGUCAAAUUCAUAACACUGUCUUGAUUCCAAGCCUCAGGAGAACAUUUGAAUGAAAUUUUCAAAUGCUUCAAUUUUUAUAUCAUCCAAUGUGGAAUUCACAUUUACUGAGCACCUGCAAUGAGCUAGGAUCUGUACUACAUACUUUUAAAAAUACAUUAUUUUUCCUAAGAAAGUUCUGAGGUAGAUAUAUUAUUUUACAGAUGAGGAAACAGAGGUUCAGAGAGGUUAACUGACUUCACAAAAGUCAUAGAGCUACUAGGUAACAGAGCUCAUUGAACAUGGAGCUAGGAUUCAACCCUGGAUCGCCGUGAAGCCAUUUUGUUUCCAUGACAUCAUGACAUUGGUUAUAACACCACAAUUGUUUAGAAUAUAAGGCUUGUUUAGAAUGCAAGGCUUCCUCAAUUCUCCACCCUUCCCCUCUUGACAUCUUGCUCUUCUUCCCUUCAUCUAUUGUGUUAGUCAGGUGCAUGCUGGUCUUCCCUCUAUCAAACUGUAAGCUACUUGGAGACUUGGGAUGCCUCACUCAUCUCUAUUCCCAAACCUCAGGGUCUAUCAUUCUACCUUCUGUAUAGACAGGACUUUCAUAGUUUUGAACAAGUCAGAACCUGAAAGAAUUUGCUUCCAGAACAGGACAUUGACAGGAAAAUUAAGCAUGAUCAUGCCGAGUAAAAUAGGAAUAAGAAUUGGACCUACCUCAAGAUCUGUUGAGAAGAUUAUGAGAGAGCUGAUGGAUCUAAAAGAUUGGCGCUUGAUAGAAUUGGGAUCAUUUGUUUUGACUAGAACAAUCUCUUGCAGCUUGGAUGGAGAAACUUUACAGAGGUUUCAGCCAAACACUCAUGAAUUCUUUAAUGUGUGAAAUAAAGUAAGUUUUAUAGGCAAAUAACAAUCUGAAUCCCUAACUAGCUAUUUCAUAUAAUAUGCAUAUAACUCUGAAAAUUACAUACAUCAAAUUUCAAUUUGGCUUCAUGCAUGCUUUGUUUUAUAGAUUCAUAAAGGCAGAUUUUCUCUGAUUAUCAGACUUAUUGCAAAAUGGAGUCAACACAGAAACUUCCUGAAGUUGGCAAAGCUUGUUUUCUUUGGCUGACAGGAGUAACUGAUGUAUUAUUAUUUUUUAAGGCUCUGAGAUAAAUCUGAUUCAUGUUUGAAUCAUAAGUUUAUUAUUGAUUUUUAGUGUGGAUUUUGCAUAAGAUACUCAAUUUAGAGAAUACUCAGCUUUCUCAUAUGCAGAAUAGAAAAAAAGUAGUUACCUGAUCAGAUUUUUUGAAAGGUAAAUGCAACAGCAGUUGUAAAUGGCAUAGUCCAUUGUUAGGAAUAGACUAGGUGUUCAAUAAAUGAAUAAAAAAAAACCGUGAAGCUCUCCUGAAGCUUUAUAUUCCCUGUCUAUAAAAUGGAGACAUCACUGAUUUCCUGCUUACAUUACAAGACUGCUGUGAAGAUCAAAUGAAGAAACAGAUAAAAAUGUUUGGUAAACUGAAUUGUACAGUAUAAAUAGAAAGCGGUGACAAAAGUAAUUCAUACCAAUGCAGUUUUUUAAAAAUAUCCCAACCUGCCUACACAACUACUUCCUCUCUCUGAGAUUUAUCUCAAAAGUGGAAUUAGAUUCCUGUCUUAGCUGUAAAAAUAAAGCCACAAAGGGCAUCAUGCAUGAGAGAGUAAAUGUGAAACUCUGUGGGGGAAAAUGGAAACUUCAGAUAUUAUUAGGGCCUAGCUGCCAAUGGUGAUUCUCUCAAGAUUUUAUUGGCAGGUUGAGUGAAAGUGCCAGAGUGUGGAUGCACAAAUUGUAGUUUAAUUGGUGUGAUUUAUAGCUAAUGGUGCAUCAGAAGGAGGAACUAGGAACUGUGCCUUCUAAUUUAAGGCAUAGUACCUAAGACUGCAUCCACUAGGUAAGAAAACCUUCCUUGGCAAACUCAAAUAUUAAAUCUUCGCUGAAUUUGUCUUGUUCUUUUAUAUAAAAAUCAUGGAGCCAGGAGCUAAAAUAAUAUCUAAGUUUCCUCUUUGCCUGACGCCAUCCAUGCAAAAUGUGACUUGCUUCUUCAGCAGCAGCAUGAAAACAAACUAAUACACCACUAUUCCUAGUUUGUACAACGAAAGGCUAAAAAUUUGGGAGAUGCAGGAUGACUGAAGCCCGAUUCUGGGGGUUGUUACAGCACAGUUACAGGGUAAGUUUUUUCCAUUGUUAUUUGCUGGAAAAUUUAUUCUCCAUCUCCUUUAGUCUGUGCCUGAAUUUUGUGGGACUUGCUCGAGAAUGGUAUUCAUGCUUUAAAUCCAAGAGCCAGGAAUCAUCGCAUUUCAACAAUUUUCCUAUUUAUUUUAACCAAAACAGAGCUGGUUUCUAUAACUCAAUUUAAGAAAUUAUCCUCUUUGAUACAAUCUACUUAUGUUUGAUUGAUUUUAGAAUAAACUAACAGAUACACAAGAGCUUAUCAAGCUAGCUCGGUUCAGUGGAGAACUAUAGCAGAAACAGCAGGUUUCUAUUUGGCACAUUUUGGAUUUAUCUGGACGCAAGAGGAUGUGAAAAGAACACCUUUCAGACAAAAGCCAGUCUUGAGUAGGAAUUUAGUGUUCCUUGCCCAAACAGCUUAGUUUGUUUCCCAUUUUGAGUCACUAUCUGAAUCCUUUUUUAUCUCCUAUAUAGAACAAAUUCUCUCCCUCUAUUUAAUAGGCUUUCAGAUAUGAAACAGAGAGAGAGAGAGAGAGAGGAAGGAAGGAAGGGAGGGAGGGAAAGAGAAAGGGAAAGAAGGAAGGAAAAGCUCUAAUUUCUUCUGUUCUUUUGGUAACACACCUCCCCUUCACAUCCUUCAGCUGCUCCCCUUAGGGCUUUUUGUAGACACUUUUGGUGGUCUCUCCUCUCACACACUGCUCACCACUGUACUUUAUUUUGUAUCAUCUGUCUCCAUCCUUUCCCAACUCCUGAGCACUCAGCCUCCUCUGGAUCUUUUCUGGUUCCUUCGCUCCUAGAACUGUGUCUGAUGGCUUAUGAAGGCAAAUGACAAAUGUUUGCCAUAUGCACAUGUAUGUGCAUGAAUGAAUACAUCCAGGUUCUGACUUCCUCGGGGCAACCUCUACUUUCUCAAUGCCCCUCUUAAGAUGGGGGUGGGGGAGGGUCCUCCUAGAACUGAACAUGAUAUUCCAGGUGUGAUCUAAUACAUUUAAAUGUCCAAAAGCUCUUUCUUCCCUAAACGUUCCUUUUUAAAAGCUACUGUUCUCAAUUAAUGGGUGUCUCAUCUUCUUAAGUAUAUUAAUAAGAGGUAUUUUGAUGUUUCCCUCCAUUCUGUGGAUUACCUCUUGAUUCUCUGGAUUCUUUGUGAUUCCGUUUUGUUUUAAGGAUGUUCUCAGGUGUCUGGUGAUCCUUGCUUAUAAGUCCAAAUUAAUGAUGAGGCACUAAAAUGCUGAUUGGAAGCUCUCUGUGCAGGCAGGUAUUGUUGAAUAGUGGUAAACAGGGGACAUGUUCAUUUUGGAGACACUCAAAUAUCAGGACCUAUAAAUCUCUAUGCCAAGUCAGUUUCCCCAGAGUCUCUUAAUAUCAUUUCUUUCAGGUUAAAAGCCUGGUUACCAGGUUCUGGGAGUGAAGGGAGGAGUGGGGCUUAGACAAGGGUGGGGGCGGGGGUAUGUCUCACAAUUCACUAAAUACCUUCUUUUAUAUAUGUGUUCUCUGUGCAGCAUUUUACCCCCACCAUCGUCCAUGUCUGAUGCCUCAGGUUCAAUCUUGUUCAGUCUUUCCAAAGAGGAAACAUUGGUUGGGUGGGAAUGAUUGGCAGGUCGAAGAGAGAAUUUGAAGCUAUAGCUGCUCCUUUUAAAACUUCUAACUCAUCUUUGUUUUUUCAGGCCUUCCUCACACCCAUGUCUUCAGAUACCCAAGGCCUUUAAUACCCAAGUCCUUCCAGGAUUCUGCACAUCUCAUUAGCUUCAUAUUCCCGUAAGUACUUGGGUUUCUGCUUUCUCAGCUCUGAUGUGUCAUUUUCUAAUCAAUCAUCAGCAUUCCAGCUUCCAAAGUUUUGUUCAUAUAUCUUACAUGUGUUGUCUUGACCGACUUCUUUUUGGACCUUAGAUUAUUUACCUAUUUAAAUUCCUUAAUUGUUACUUUAGUGGAGUUUUGGAAGGGAACAAAAAUAUAGGCAGGUGUUUAUCACAUUUAACAAGGAACUCAAAAUUUAUAUUUAAUUCUAUUUAAUCUGGCUGCCUUCUUGCCAUCAGUCUAUUUGAAAAGUUCAUAUGGACCCAGCUCUGUCAUCAUCACAUGUUCUAUAUCCCCAAACCUUGUGACAUCUGCAAAGAAGUACAGAAGACCUCAAGAGAAGAUAAGCUAGAAUUUAUUUAUUUUUAUACCUUUUAUUCAGUUUUUAUUAAAGCUUUCCUACCUUUCCAGAUUGACACAGAAUUAUUCCAUGAAUCUGUCUAUUAAUCCAUUUACAGCAAGUGCUGGGGAUAGAAAUUAAGGUUUAAACAUAUAAUUCCUGCCAUCAAAGGACUCCCUGUUGAUUAGGGGACACAGGCAAGAAAAUAGACAGUAAGUUUGUUAAGGCAUGAACAAAGAACUGUGUUGGUACACACAGUACAGAGAGGAAGUACAAAGAGGAUGGUGCUUAAGAAGAGUUAACACCUAGACCUAAUCUUAGAGGAUGAGGAAGCAUUGGGUAGACUAGAAGACUAGGUGUAGGGGUAAAGGAAGGCAUAUCAGAGAAAAGGGAGCAGCUACAUAGAGGCAAGGACUAUGCCUCUUCUGCCUCUGAAGAGGAGAAAUUUCUUUCAAUCAAUAGAAAGUGCAGGACAAAGGGUACUAAGUCAUCUUUUGAUGGGAUAACUUGAUGUUAGUGUCCUUCCAUGAGAAAAUGGGAAGCAGCCCCUUAUAAUAAAACCUCUGGCUUUUGAAUUACCAAGUAAAACUGAGGUGUCAGCAACCCUUGGCUGAAUGUGGAACUUGCUAAUAGAACCCCUACAUUCAUGGGAAGGGAUAAAAGAGCUUUAAAAAGUACAAAAGCAUUGUGUGAAUAUAUGGGAUUAAUAUUACUACUACAAUAUUGCCUACCACCACCAUCCCCAGCCCUGAGGAGUCUUCUUAAACUUACAAAAUGAAGCUGCUUCUCUAUGGAUGUAGACAUUUCCUGGUUUCAACAUUGCACCAUAGCUAUGCAUUAUGUCAACAUUGGGAAAAGGCAGGGUGGAAGGUGCACAGGAGCUCUCUGUACAUUUCUUUGAAACUUCCUUUAUACCUUUUAAAAGUUAAAAAGCAGCAGCAGUGGCAGCUUCUCAAGGCCAAAGAUGGGGAGCUCUAUUUCAUUUGCAUUUCUACUCAGGGCUAUAAUGAAUUGAACUCAAUGUGUUGCUAAAGAUUAUUAUGAAAUUAAAAUCCAAUUAGGAUGGUCUCGUGGGUCUGGUAAAAGCUUGGAUUAGAGACCAGGCACAACACGGGGUUGGGGGAGAUGGACUGCUCAAUAGAAGUAGGGCUGAGUGGGGAGUUUAAAGCACUGGCCUCUAAGUAUAGGAACCACUGUACAAAUUUUAAAAUAUACUCAGGAUAGUUAAUAUUUGAUCAAAAUCCACUGUGAAGUGAGGAAUUUUUCCUGCUGGGCAUUCUAUUUUCCAGUUCUAUGAUCAAGCCCAGUGACUGGUAAAUACAAUAUGCCCCACUAGCCCCCAGCUUCUCCCAGCUCCUGUUCCCUCCUGGUGCUCAAAGGGAGAAAGGCUAAGAAAUUCCAAGCCCUGGUCAGGAAAGUGAUCUUGAAAUCACACACAAUGAAUAGUGCCAUCACUAAUGACUCAGCUUGUAAAGAACCAGUGAAGUGAGGAAAUUCUUUCUAUGCACAGAAUGUCUAGAUAUUUAGGCAAAAUUGAAGGGGAUGAGGCAGGAAUAACCAGGACAAACUCAGUAAGAACUUCAACCCUGGUUUUCUCAAGAUUCAGUUUAUGUGCUGAUCAUUUUCUCUCAUAUCUAAUUCCCUUACUUCCCCUGCUCUGUUUUACAUCGAAAGUGCUGACUUCAUGCAAAUUACAUGCAAUUUGCAUGUAAUUUGGAAUUUGCUCCCUGGGAAAAUCACUUCUGACUAGGUUCAGCCAAUGGGAGGCACUAACAGGAGAUUGGAGGGUAGGAGGAAGGGAGGCAUAAGGGAAUUUCUUUCCCCUCUCUGUUUCAGGUGGCAUUUCAAGAAUGUCUGUUUUUCCUCCAUGAUUUCUAUAGAUAUUCCUUAAUUUUCAAGUCUCCAUUAGCAUAGGUAUGAAGGUUUCUCAAUGUGCUCUUGCUUUGGCUUCCUUUAGUCAGAAUAGAAAGAGAAAGUUUUUUAACUUUAUUCAAACAUAUUAGGGGUUUGCUAGAGAAUACAUUAUUUGCCCCUAGUUAUCCUGAUGUUAUAAAAGGAGGCAGACCUGGACAAGUGUAAAUUAGCACAGACAUUCUAACAAUCACCAGAAAAAUGCACCCAUAAGUAGUGCCAAUGCAAGAAGUUUUGACUGUAAUGCCCGUGUGCAGUAGGCUGAAUGAUGGCCCCCAAGUAUAUCUAUAUCCUAAUCCCGAGAACUUGUGAAUGUUACUUGCUAUGCUGAAAGGGACUUUGAAGGUGUGAUUAAGGGUUUUGAGAUGGGGAGAUUUUCCUGGAUUAUAUGAAUGUGUCCUAAAUAUAAUCACACAGGUCCAUGUAAGAGGUAGGCAAGGUCAAAGGAGGAAAUAGAAGGUAAGAUAAUGAAAACAAGAGGUUGGAGGGCUGUGAGGAAGGGGGUCACAAGCCAAGAAGCAUAGGUGGCCUAGAGAAGCUAGAAAACACAAAGAAAUGGAUUUCUUAUAGAGUCUUCACGGGGGACUAGCCUUGCUCACACCUUGACUUUAGCCUAGUGAAACUGAUUUCAGACUUCUGGCCUCCAAAACUGUAAGAGAAUAGAACUGUGCUG